UCAGACUCCAAGGAGAGGCCAACAGAUGAGGGAGCCAUUUUUCUGCAAUGGAAUUAAAUGGCCAAGUGGGUUUUUCCUUUGUUGCAAAUGGGGAAUGCUUUUCCUUUGACUCCACCAUCCAGUUCAGGACGCCUGAAUGUGUUUAACAUUUGCCAAAGGACUCACACUUGGAAGAAUGAAGACCUUUUAAAAAGAUCUGGAUUUUUCCUUAUGACUUGGAAUCCAUCUUUGUCUUGUAUAACUAGGUCAUAGCACACUAUUAAUGUCAGCAGUUAACAGUUUUGAAUUCAAAAAAACCUAAAGCACUAAACAGCCCUCAGCGAAGCCGCCUUUUUGCCAGCCCAACCCUGGAAAGUUUGCAGUCGUGGAAGGAGCAGAAAUACCACGAGUGUAACUUACAAAGAAGGUCUUGGCCGGAGACCGGAGCCAUGUCUGUGUUAUCCCCACUGUAGACAAUCCUUGCUUCCUCUGGACAUCUGGAGCAGGCCCAAUUUGACUGAGAGCCUUCCCCCACUAAGGUAGUUACAGAUCCAGCCCCACCAUCACCACCAGAGUUGAGUCCAAAUCCAACACUCUAGGCCGGGUAGUGCUGGGACUUUGCCAGCCUCCUGCUGAGAAGUGAAUUCUCCCCUUGGCAAACUGCAGCCAGCCAGCCUCCUGGGUCGAGAGCCAAGCCAAAAGAUGUCUGAGAGAAGAAACCUGGGGUCCUGCAAAGCCCUCCUCCUCCCCCCCCCCCCCCUUCAGCCAGCACUUAGGCCCUCCCUGAUUUAGCCCGUUACCUUGACAACCACUUGGGCCUGUCUCCCUCAUCACCACUGAAAACCUGAAGGUGGUUUUCCAGCUGCGGUACAUUUGCCCAAGUUGGGCACCCCUCCAGCUUCUAUUGGCUCGCCCUCUAUACAGCUGUACCCAAUAUAACAAACACAACCUUCCUGGCCCCUCAGCUGUAGUCUCGAAAUUGAUCUCACUGGUCCCGGGAACUCCGUCAAUACUGCCUCCUCUAGACUGAGCUCCUCACAGGCAGGAACAUGGUUGUUUCUCAAUAAACAAGUUGCAAAAAAA
rnacentral:lncRNA from 1 species